UCAUAUGCUUGUCUUAAAGAUUAAGCCAUGCAUGUCUAAGUAUAAGCUUUUAUACGGCUAAACUGCGAAUGGCUCAUUAAAACAGUUAUAGUUUAUUUGAUGGUCUUUACUACAUGGAUAACCGUGGUAAUUCUAUGGCUAAUACAUGCGCACAUGCCUCUUCCCCUGGAAGGGCAGUGUUUAUUAGAUACAGAACCAACCCACCUUCCGGUGGUCCUCAGGUGAUUCAUAGUAACCGAACGGAUCGCGUUGACUUCGGUCUGCGACGGAUCAUUCAAGUUUCUGACCU